rnacentral:rRNA from 1 species
CAAUAGCGUAUAUUAAAGCUGUUGCGGUUAAAAAGCUCGUAGUUGGAUUUCUGUCAAGGACAACUGGUCCGCCCCUCGGGUGAGCACAUAGUUUGGUCUUGGCAUCUUGUUGGAAACUGUUGCUGCACUUGGUUGUGUGGCGCAGUGUCCAGCACUUUCACUUUGAGGAAAUUGGAGUGUUUCAAGCGGGCACAUGCCUUUGGACACAGUAGCAUGGAAUAAUUAGAUUGGGCUUUUGCUCCAACUUGUCGGUUUCUGGAGCUGAGGUGAGAAUUAAUGGGGAUUGUUGGGGGCAUCCGAAUUUAGCCGUCAGAGGUGAAAUUCUUGGAUCUGCUAAAGACGGACAACUGCGAAAGCGUUUGCCCAGGAUGUUUUCAUUGA